rnacentral:lncRNA from 1 species
GCUGUUAUAUGUGUAUUUGAGGACGCCCAAAUAUUUUUUUAGUAAACCUGCAUCCGUCACUUCUUCCAUACAAAGUAGGCACAAAUUUUGCUCGAAUUGAUCUCCUUCUAUACAAAGCAUCUUUGUGCUAAAGUGUUCUUCUAUUUGAUUUAUUUAUCAAGUUUCUUGUUGGUACAAAUUCCUAUAGAUAGAUGGGUGGUUCUUUUGACUCCAAUGUUUAUCUGGAUUUUUUUAUAGGUGUGACAGGGGCAGGGAUUGGAAGCUAUAGCAGACGGGGUCUGUUUGGAUUGCAUUUGCGGAGCCGACCAACCCGGCGGUGACGAGCGCGAGGCGUACGGGUUCGACUUUCACUUUUUAGUGCCAAUUCAUAAAAACGAAGAAUCGAUGCAUGUUUAUUGUUUUUUUCUGGUUUAUACAAGAAGUUUAUAAUUUGUUUGUGUUUACCUUUUUAUUUGUCAGAAGUUGCUGCUUAAGUUUAGG